rnacentral:rRNA from 1 species
UACGUAGGUGGCGAGCGUUGUCCGGAUUUACUGGGCGUAAAGCGCGCGUAGGCGGCGCCUCAAGUCCUUGUGUGAAAGGUCGCGGCCCAACUGCGACACGGCACAGGAUACUGGGGUGCUUGAGGGCAGCAGAGGCCAGUGGAAUUCCCGGUGGAGUGGUGAAAUGCGUAGAUAUCGGGAGGAACACCAGAGGCGAAGGCGGCUGGCUGGGCUGUACCUGACGCUGAGGCGCGAAAGCGUGGGGAGCGAACCGGAUUAGAUACCCGGGUAGUCCACGCCCUAAACGGUGGCAACUAGGUGUGGGGGGUAUCGACCCCCUCCGUGCCGCAGCUAACGCGUUAAGUUGCCCGCCUGGGGACUACGGCCGCAAGGUUAAA